AGGACUUGGAGGAGGUAGGGGAGUUUUUUUUUUACUUUCCUCAAGUAGGAAGAGCCAUUUGGAAAUGGAAAGGAAGAGAUAAGACAGCGCUGGUCAAAACAGCUGAGAUGACACAAUGACAAACUCCCUGUUUGAUCCUUCUUGUUGUUCUCUUCCAACAUCUUAUAACUGCUAUUAUGAAAAGACUUGGGUUUUAAAAUAUAUUAGGUAAGCCCUACCAAGCAGAGCUUGGGCUGUGGCCAGGCCCUGGAUCUACCUGGAUGCUUAAUGUCAACAGACCCAGAUGUUUUCUGCAUCAGAAAGUAUUCAAGUUACUUUGACUUGAUAAUUUGACCUUAUUAAUGUAACAGCUUAAACCUGUUUUUAAAAGUAAGCUUGGAGAAUCGUUAACCAGACAUGAUUAUCCAACCUACUACUGGUUUGAAGUUUAUCAGUUGUUGCAGACUCUGACUUACAGUGUUUUAAUUCUUGACAGUUAUCUAAUUUCAUGUGUGUUACUGACUGCAUAUGUUAUUUAGAUAAUGCCUAGUUGCUACAGCCAAUGUCCAGGUGUUUUUCCAAUAGCACACAGGCAGAAAUUAAAAUCCUACAGUCCCUGUGGAGGAUGUAGGUUUGCUUGUAUCUCAACAGGUAUAAGAUUCGAGUGGAUUCCUGCAGAGAAACGUGAAAUCCUAUUGAAUGAAAGAAAAUGCUGAGCACUCCAUGACCAAAGAGGCAGACAUACAGACAUGAUUUCUCAGAGAUUCCCACUUGAGCCUAAUGUUGUGUGUUUGACCCACAAAAGACUGUGAACUUUGGGUUCCUUUUUAAGUGUGGAAAUCAGUAGUGUUGUGGAAUUUUUGUUAGAUAAUAGCUGAAGGGAAAUAUGGGGCUCAAUCAAAUAGCUUUUGUCUUUUUACUUUGCUUUCUUUUAGUAAUUCAGAUUUGCAAGUGAGCCAAUGUUUGGGUGACUUUAGUGUAUCAGCUUGAGAUACCAUGUCUGUCCAACACAACCCCAGAAAAACCAUUUUCUACCUGUCUAGUUGGUGGGCCAGUGAAUACUUGGCCAAAUCCAACAGAAAUUGACAAAUCCAUGCAAGGUACCUUCACAAGACCAUCCAUGUGGACUCUUUGGUUCCUCAGUAGAGGUGUGGGAUUUGUGGGUUCCUCACCUCCCCCAGGCAUCUCUUGAAUCUCAAGAAUUAGAGGCCUUGGUUUUUUAAAAAUGCCAUUUGUGCCAAAUUUGAUUAUACAAGAAAAAAGAUAUCAAGCUUUAGUUACAGAUGCUUCUCCUUGUUUUAUGCUACAUAUAAAAAAAUCAGACCUAUUGGUGUAAACAUACUUUGGUUCAAUCUGCAUUUAAUAAUCUUUUCAAUUACCACAGGGAUUAUUUUUCAUUUGUGGAGAUAGUUUGCCCUGCUAUCCCAGCACACAUCAAAGGUGGACCAUGUAGCAUUGGGAAACUUAGACUGCUACACCCAGUGUAAAAACGAAAUAUAAAAGUAAAAAAUGUAUCAGUCAAUACAAGUCAGACUGCAACAAUUAUUUUGAACCUCAGUUUUGGAAAAAGAUUGUCAGCAUCUCUUUUUCUGCCACAACUUAGUUCAGCAGUGGCUCUGAAACAAUUAGAUUGUCUGGGGUGUUGGCUGAGUAAGGAGUUCAAUUCUACCUCCCUCCAUUGAUAUGCUAACAGAUGUCAACAGUGUAGAUACACGACCUUGCAAAACUGGGCUGAGAUUGAUUUCUCUCUUAUUAGCACAUGGAUGUGGAUGGGAGGAUUUUAAAGGAAUGUGUUGUAUGAAUUUAUCUGAUCACUCAGAAUCUAUUUAAAAAGAAAACAGCAGCUGAAGGAGGGUGUGUCAAAGACUAGAGUUGAUAGAACUUGGUUAGAUAGCUUUUUUUCAUGGAUGGUAUUUAACAUUAUUGGUGAAAGAGCAUUUAAAAAUGGAUUUAUACAUUUUAGUCAUCAUAAUAGUUGUGCUAAUCAUGGUGUCAUGUUUUCUCCAAUGCAUUUGACAAAUGAUUGACAAAGCUAUUAAGGAAAUCUACAUGGCUCAAAGAGGAGGGGGAGAUAUUGCAAGGUAUGUAAGCCUCUCUGAGUUCCUCAGGGAGAGAUGAAUGCAGGGGUUCAAUUAAAGCCUUUAGAGAAAUGAAGAUAUAUUAAGCCAUAGAGAUGUGAAGUGUAUGUUACAGCUUCAAGUAAGUAGAAAUGCGUCUUAAGUGCCUUAAGAAAUUGUGCUAACUAGUGGAGGCUUUAAGGCCUAGUUUAGAAUUCAGUAACUUAGCUCCAGAGGUGACAACUUUGUUUGCAUCACUAGAACAGAACUAUAUGUGUAAAUAGAUAGAACUGUUCACAUAAAUAGGUAAACUUACAUACGUAAAUUUGAAGUAAAAAACCAGAUGGUUUGUGUAAAUAGAUAAUAUUAUAUAUGUAGAUUUUAGGUAAGAGCAGACACUACUUUUGUACUACCUUUGCACAUUAGAAUCAAGUUUAGAUUGGUUUAGAAAAAAUGUUUUAAAAUUUUGGUUUUGGCUGACUGGAUGCUUUAUGGAUAAAAUGCCCUGUAAUGGGGUGCAAUCAACUCAACUAUGCCCACCACAACCACGACCUUGAACAGCCACAGGAAGAAGACAACAGAAAGAAGAAAAACGGCUCUGGUCCCUACUGCUGCUGCUUGGGACAUUGGACUCUGUGUCUGGGACCAGCUGCUGCUGUUUCUGCGUGGAAACUGGGACUCUGCACCAGAGAGCAGCCUUUCAGCUGCUGCCCUUGCUUGGGAUGCUAUGCCAGAAAGCUUUUAGGUUAAACUUUUAAACUCUUAGCCAUCAAGACUGAUAUAUUCCAGCAAUAAACAACUUUACUGCAAUCAACAAAAUGCUCUUGUCUCAUUGAAGACCCCAGGCCCAAUGCAGCCUCGGCAACAAACUUGUUCCUCUCUUUGAGGACGAAGAUCCAUUGCAAGAAAUCUUCAAAACCUCAGGCUGAGUUUGCAAAUUUGAACUUAUUGUACUAGAUCUCAUGUAUUUCUCAGCCUGCUCAUAAUCUGCACAGAAGUAGUUUGCACCUUGCCAAAAGCCCAGCAGAACAGAUGGCAAAACUGCUACACCUUGAAGUCCAGAUAACAUAUGUGAAAUGAGUCAACUUCUUUUUCCUACUAUUUCUUUUUUAUAAAGCAUUACUUUGAUUGGAGGGGAAAAAACUGCGUACUUGUUUGAGUAAGAAAGGAGAAAAUUAAGGUAGGUGGAGUAUCUUUUACUGCACACCUGACUGUAUUUACAGAAAUACAGCUGAUGAGAAACUCCAGACUAAAGAAUGAUCCUGUGGGAAAAUUGUGUGAAAUUCCAAUAAUAGGAGGAAGAACUGUAAUUUUAUGUGGGAGAAACAAUGUUUUUCAUAGAAAGUGGUAGUUAGUAACAGAACUAAACUUCAAUAAGAAAAAGGAAAGCUUUGCAGGGGCAGAGUGCAGAAGUUUCAAAAGAAAUUAAAAAUAAUAUUAAACUUGAAAAUGUAUUAAAUUUUUUAAAAUAUAUCAAAAAAAGCCUCUUCUGAGCCGUACUACUAAAUUUUUUGAGACUUAUCUCUUCAUGAAUUAGGUCACAGAAACCUGAAUUACUCCUGGUAAGACCGUUUCAGCAACAUCUACCAGGUAAAAAAGAUUAGUUUAUUCUAAAUUUGAAUAAAACUGAGCACUUACCUCCUUUCCCCCCCCCCAACAGCUAACUGUUUCAAUGAAGGGUGCAUUUCCAAUGGGAAGGGCAGUUUGAAUAC